rnacentral:misc_RNA from 1 species
GAUGAAGAACGCAGCGAAAUGCGAUAAGUAAUGUGAAUUGCAGAAUUCAGUGAAUCAUCGAAUCUUUGAACGCACAUUGCGCCCCUUGGUAUUCCGAGGGGCAUGCCUGUUCGAGCGUCAUUAUAACCCCUCAAGCUCAGCUUGGUGUUGAGGCCUGCUGCACUGGCAGCCCUUAAAAUCAGUGGCGGCGCCAUCUGGCUCUAAGCGUAGUAAUUCUUCUCCCUAUGGAGUCCUGGUGGAUGCUUGCCAUCAACCCCCAAUUUUUCUAUGGUUGACCUCGGAUCAGGUAGGGAUACCCGCUGAACUUAAGCAUAUCAAUAAGCGGAGGA